CUUGCUUAGGUCUGUGGUUGAAAGUCGAUGCCAGUCGCAGGCGAAACGAUCCACGUAAGGAGUUUAAAAAAGCUCUGAGCAUGGUGCGGCUUAGGAGUAAGACCUGCCGAAUCUAAGGGUAACGCCUGGUUCGAGAGGAGUAGUAGUGAGGGGAUUGAAUUCCUAGUAGCGGGCCUCCCAGCAGGCGAGUGUGGGGUCAAAGACCAGGUCGGCUAAGCAAG
rnacentral:ncRNA from 1 species